rnacentral:rRNA from 1 species
UACGUAGGGGGCAAGCGUUGUCCGGAAUCAUUGGGCGUAAAGAGCGUGUAGGCGGUCCGGUAAGUCGGCUGUGAAAGUCCAGGGCUCAACCCUGGGAUGCCGGUCGAUACUGCCGGACUAGAGUUCGGAAGAGGCGAGUGGAAUUCCCGGUGUAGCGGUGAAAUGCGCAGAUAUCGGGAGGAACACCUGUGGCGAAAGGCGGCUCACUGGACAGUAACUGACGCUGAUGCACGAAAGCUAGGGGAGCAAACAGG